rnacentral:rRNA from 1 species
UACGUAGGGGGCAAGCGUUGUCCGGAUUCAUUGGGCGUAAAGAGCUCGUAGGCGGUUCAGUAAGUCGGGUGUGAAAGCUCCGAGCUCAACUCGGAGAGGCCACCCGAUACUGAUGUGACUUGAGUCCAGUAGAGGAGACUGGAAUUCCUGGUGUAGCGGUGGAAUGCGCAGAUAUCAGGAGGAACACCGGUGGCGAAGGCGGGUCUCUGGGCAGUAACUGACGCUGAGGAGCGAAAGCGUGGGGAGCGAACAGG